rnacentral:rRNA from 1 species
UGGGGAAUAUUGCACAAUGGGGGAAACCCUGAUGCAGCGACGCCGCGUGAGCGAAGAAGGCCUUCGGGUCGUAAAGCUCUUUUAUGAGGGAAGAUAAUGACGGUACCUCAAGAAAAAGCCCCGGCUAACUACGUGCCAGCAGCCGCGGUAAUACGUAGGGGGCUAGCGUUGUCCGGAAUCACUGGGCGUAAAGGGUUCGCAGGCGGAAAUGCAAGUCAGGUGUAAAAGGCAGUAGCUUAACUACUGUAAGCAUUUGAAACUGCAUAUCUUGAGAAGAGUAGAGGUAAGUGGAAUUUUUAGUGUAGCGGUGAAAUGCGUAGAUAUUAAAAAGAAUACCGGUGGCGAAGGCGACUUACUGGGCUCAUUCUGACGCUGAGGAACGAAAGCGUGGGUAGCAAACAGG